UAGCUCUCGGCACAUCCGCCGCUGACAGCUAUCCCCCAUCCCCCAUCCCCCCUGCGUCUGCUCGGGCUAGCCGGCGAUGGAAGAAGCCGGUCUAGUUCCUGCUCGACGCCGUCGACCUGUUUCCCCUUCGGGAGGAGUUUGCGGACUGCCUGUACUCAUCCAGAUCCGAUUCCUCUGGCUGUGCUACUGCUGCGAUCUGUGUUACUCGUGCCAAUUGGCAGGCACCUGGUAGCGGCGGCUGAUAGCGUCGGCCCAAUGGGUAAUGGGAAGCCGACGGUCAAGGUAUGUGGCUGGGCGAGGGAAAAAAAUUAUAUGAGACCAGGUCUCAUAUAAACCAAGUGAGACCCACCCUGAUGGAUGACAUGUGGCAUUCACAAAUCAUAAAGCAUCUAAUCUCUCCUCCCCCUGAUUUCAGGUAGGGGUGGGGUAGAUGCUUUGUGAUUUGUGAAUGCCACGUGUCAUCCAUCAGGAUGGGUCUCACCUGCUAACCCGUGAGACCUGGUCUCAUAGAAUUUUUUCCGAGCACUCCUCCCAUCCUCGGUAGCGUUGGUGGUCAGACCGGCAGCAGUGACAGGGAGCAAUUUUGCUAGCGUUCUCUGUUUGGAUCUGAACAGAAAAUGUGCUAAAGUUGUAUUUGCCGUACCCUUGGCUGCAGGUUAGAUAAAGGGGGUUUUGUCACUUCUUAUUAUAAUCUCAGGCUAAUUAAGUUGUUCCAACAUUGUCUGGUCUUUAGUACUUGACGGACGAGUCUCAGUCGUCAUUCCUUUUCCGAAGCUAAUUAAGUUUUUGAUCUCAAGAAUGACACUUUCGACAGAUUGGGUCUUAAUUAUUCAUUUUUUGAGAUACUUGUUUAGUAUCAUUUCUGCUGAGAAAAUAAUAUUACAAAGAAACACAUCGUUCGGUGUUCGCAUCUUAAUUGUCAGAAUUUCUUUUAGAUGUGGUUUUCAGGUUAUGGGACAAGUGUGCCUAGAUGUGCUAGACCAGAAAAAUUGUUGCCUUCCAAAUCUUGACCUAUGUUUGAUUUAACAUCUCGUAGUGUGGCCAUCUUUAUUGUUAUCUAUUGAUGUAAUCAGUUUGUGGAUGUACAUAACUCAUACUUUGUCAUGUCAUGUAGGAACACUAUCUACUCCCUCCUUCCUAUAAUAUAAGAGCGUUUUUGACAUCAUUACUGAACUCGAAGCUUUGGAAGCUCACCAAACGUAAAAAGUACAGUUGUGAUCUUUCUGUUAGAUGUUUGAGUAGUGAUUAGUACAUAAAGAUUUUUUUUGUUGGUCUCAAACUCUCGAGACAAGUCCAUUCUUUUUUUUAAAUUUAAUAUGUUCUUUUAUAGUUCUCAACUUCUCAUUACAAGUAUGACUACAUAUCUGGUUAAUUCUGUUUUUCAUUAGUCCGGCAAGAUUUCCAAAAUUUACCCUUCGAUGUUGUUGAUUAUACAGAAUCAUCAAAUCAGGUUAUCAGGUAAUUUCUAGACUCUGAAUGUUCAAAACAUCCAAUUAGCUCUGAAACAUCAAAGGCACUAUUUGUUUUACAUAGCUGCCUAUUUUGCUGAAAAAGAAGCAUGUGGUUGUACUUUAUUUUGGAGUAGUAUAUUCCAAAUAGUUGACUAAAAUUAUGCCUAUGUGACCAUGUGAGAUAUUUACUACAGCCCUUGAUUAUAUUUUUAAACUUGGCAAGACAAAUAACAAUAACUAGUUUGUUUUAAAGUUGCUACCCAACUAAUUAAGUGACUGGCAAUACCACCAACAGUUGUUUGUAUUAAAAUCACAUCUAUUUUGUUGGUUAUUUUUGUUCUGAUAUUUGUUAGUGAGUUUCGUACCUUUCUAGCUUCAGUUUUUGUCUCCUACUACGUCUAGAGGCAGUUUUCCGAAUGUUGAUUCUUGUGGUUUGCAUCUCUUGUGCCAUUUAGUUAAACAAAUCAUAUUCUUUGUAUAUGCCUUUUUCCAUUCUAGAGAACAUCGGUAUUGCUUCAACUCUAUUUCAGAUAGUGUGUGUUCUAUUAUUUUCUUGUCUUAAAUAUUUGAUUUGUAUAUAAUAUUAACUAUUUGUUUCAACAGUUUGGUCGGCUACUGAUCAAAGGGACGGCUUACAAAUGUUACAGAAAUUGAGAAGAUGAGGAAAACAAUGCAGCCAAGUUGGAGAAAUGGAGCAGGGUCAUGUACAAGGUGACCGUCAAGGGCACCUGUUUAGAGUUCUAGUGUGAGUGCGGCAAUUCGAGCACAUGGGCAUGCUGUGCUCUCAUGUCCGAAUGGUGAUGGACGUGCUUCACCUGGAGGAGAUUCCUGCAAAACCCAUCAUGAAGCGGUGAACGAACGAUGCAAGGGAUAUCCUCUGCCCAGACACCUUGUGCAGUACCAAAAAGACCAGUCGGUUAAUAAGUCCUUUUGGUAGUCUGUAUGUGCAAGAUAUGGAUGUUGUCAGGAUGGGCGACGCGAGCGCAGAAGGUUUCAAACACAUGUCGGCUGGCCUCAAGGCAUUGCUCGCCAACCGGGCGCCAUUCGGGGAGCAGAGGAAUGGUUUAGGUUUUGAGGACUGUCAGGGAAAUACGCUUGCAGGAGUGCUGUGUGGGAAAGGAGAAACUGAAUUUAUUGCAAAUGGGGGUGCAGAUCAUGCAAUUGGAGGUCAAAGUGCCCCGGAGAAGCGAAGAGAGGUUGGCAUUCCAACGGACAGCCAAGAGAAAGCACCUACGAGGGACUGAGUAAACAGGUAAGGUUUUGCAGUAUCUGUCGCCGCGACGGCCACAAAAGAUGAACUUGCAUGGGCCGGGGUGAUGCCCCAAAGCAAUCGCGAAAACCAGGAAAAUGCAACAACUGUGUAAUGGAAGCACACCGCCGGAACACAUGCACAUGAUAACCGCUUGGUUGUCCGCAGAAUCAAAUGUGAAAACUAGAUUUUAAUUUAUGUAUGUUGUGCUAUGAGGAUUUCUGGUGUGUUGAGCUUUGCUCCAUGCUUGUUCCUCGACAUCUGAACGUGGGACUUAAAGUGUGACAUUGAGUGAACUUGUUUGACGUUGAUCCGUAUCUUCUUUUGUGUGUGUGGUUG